UUAACACUGAGGCGUGACGACGAGGCACUACGGUGCUGAAGCAACAAAUGCCCUGCUUCCAGGAAAAGCCUCUAAGCAUCAGGUAACACGAAAUCGUACCCCAAACCGACACAGGUGGUCAGGUAGAGAAUACCAAGGCGCUUGAGAGAACUCGGGUGAAGGAACUAGGCAAAAUGGUGCCGUAACUUCGGGAGAAGGCACGCUGACACGUAGGUGAAGUGAUUUACUCAUGGAGCUGAAGUCAGUCGAAGAUACCAGCUGGCUGCAACUGUUUAUUAAAAACACAGCACUGUGCAAACACGAAAGUGGACGUAUACGGUGUGACGCCUGCCCGGUGCCGGAAGGUUAAUUGAUGGGGUCAGCGCAAGCGAAGCUCCUGAUCGAAGCCCCGGUAAACGGCGGCCGUAACUAUAACGGUCCUAAGGUAGCGAAAUUCCUUGUCGGGUAAGUUCCGACCUGCACGAAUGGCGUAAUGAUGGCCAGGCUGUCUCCACCCGAGACUCAGUGAAAUUGAACUCGCUGUGAAGAUGCAGUGUACCCGCGGCAAGACGGAAAGACCCCGUGAACCUUUACUAUAGCUUGACACUGAACAUUGAGCCUUGAUGUGUAGGAUAGGUGGGAGGCUUUGAAGCGUGGACGCCAGUCUGCGUGGAGCCGACCUUGAAAUACCACCCUUUAAUGUUUGAUGUUCUAACGUGGACCCGUGAUCCGGGUUGCGGACAGUGUCUGGUGGGUAGUUUGACUGGGGCGGUCUCCUCCUAAAGAGUAACGGAGGAGCACGAAGGUUGGCUAAUCCUGGUCGGACAUCAGGAGGUUAGUGCAAUGGCAUAAGCCAGCUUGACUGCGAGCGUGACGGCGCGAGCAGGUGCGAAAGCAGGUCAUAGUGAUCCGGUGGUUCUGAAUGGAAGGGCCAUCGCUCAACGGAUAAAAGGUACUCCGGGGAUAACAGGCUGAUACCGCCCAAGAGUUCAUAUCGACGGCGGUGUUUGGCACCUCGAUGUCGGCUCAUCACAUCCUGGGGCUGAAGUAGGUCCCAAGGGUAUGGCUGUUCGCCAUUUAAAGUGGUACGCGAGCUGGGUUUAGAACGUCGUGAGACAGUUCGGUCCCUAUCUGCCGUGGGCGCUGGAGAACUGAGGGGGGCUGCUCCUAGUACGAGAGGACCGGAGUGGACGCAUCACUGGUGUUCGGGUUGUCAUGCCAAUGGCACUGCCCGGUAGCUAAAUGCGGAAGAGAUAAGUGCUGAAAGCAUCUAAGCACGAAACUUGCCCCGAGAUGAGUUCUCCCUGAGACUUAGAGUCUCCUGAAGGAACGUUGAAGACGACGACGUUGAUA
rnacentral:rRNA from 1 species